rnacentral:rRNA from 1 species
AUCUUCGGAUCGAGUGGCGGACGGGUGAGUAACACGUUGGUACCUACCCCGAAGUGGGGAAUAACUGCCCGAAAGGGUGGCUAAUACCGCAUAAUACCGCAAGGUUAAAGCAGUAAUGCGCUUCGGGAGGGGCCUGCGUCCCAUUAGCUAGUUGGUAGUGUAAUAGACUACCAAGGCGACGAUGGGUAGUUGGAUCGAGAGGUUGACCAGCCACACUGGGACUGAGAUACGGCCCAG